CAGGCAAGUUUUCAUGUUUGAAAAGUCCGUGUUUUAUGUUUUUGAACUCAGCUUCAACAGUGGCUGAACUUGCUGUGAUGCUGGUGCUUUGGAAGAGAGGGACCAUUAUUCCUGUCCAGAGUGGCAAGUAACUUGCCAGUCUUAUUAUAUGAGGAAUAAUCUCAGGGAGAAAGUGAAUAUUAUCUCUAUCCCCGUUUGCUGCAGCAAGUGACCUGCUCUCCUCACAUAUUUCUGUUACCCACUGUCGUAGGUCUGUCUGGAUCUCAUCCACUGAAUCCACUCUCUCACUUUCCUCCAUCUGUUCAUCUGGAAUGAUGAUGGAGUCUUGAGCAAUUUGGGCUUUCAGGUAUUUCUUGCACCUUUCUGAGGGAAGAGGGGCUCCAGAACUGUCAUCACCUUCUGCCUCACUGAGGGCCACAACAGUGAUAGCACGCAGUCCCACUGGCAUAUCAUCUUGAUGCAGUGCACAACAUCAACCCUGAUAAAACAUGGGGGGAGUUUGGCAGACUGGGUUCCAAGAAGGACAUGAAAGCAUUCAUUAAGAGUGGCCAAAUUUGGAAGGUGGCUUGGCUCAGGAUCUCCAACAUCCAUCAGAUCUGCUGCCUUCGCUGACCUCCAUACAGCCGGUUCCAUUCUGCCCUCACACAGCUCUUUAGAGAUCUGUUCACGCAGGUUUCCAGUAAUGAACCGCUUGGAGUGGCCAGUGUGCAGGGAGAGAUCUGUAUUUCUCAUGAAACACUGGAGCACCAUUGGACUAUUGAUUGCUGGCUGUCUGUCACAUGUCAUUUCUAACUGGCCAUGACACUCCUUACUGAUGUCCAGAUAAUUAUUGUUGACAGUUGGAUGGACCUUUGCUCUUCGGAACACAAGUGUACAUGUAUUUUUGAUCUUCUUCCAUAUAAGAUCGUUGAUGAUAUGAGUCCAAGUGCCAGGUUUCAAAAUUGUGUAUUCCCUUUUUUGGGUAGGAGAAAACUUGUCAUUGUAUUCAACCUUUUCAGGAAUAAAUUUAACCCAGUCCUCAAAAGGGACUUCUAGUUCAAAA